UCAGGAUUAACGCUGGCGGCGUGCCUAAUACAUGCAAGUCGAAUGGUUAGCUUGCUAACCAUGGCGAACGGGUGAGUAACACGUAGGUAACCUGUCAUUAACACGAGGAUAACCAUUGGAAACGAUGGAUAAUACUGGAUAGGAUAUAAAAAGGCAUCUUGAUAUAUUUAAAGAUUUAUCGGUAAAUGAGGGGCCUGCGGCGCAUUAGCUAGUUGGGGGUGUAAGGGACCACCAAGGCGAUGAUGCGUAGCCGGACUGAGAGGUCGAACGGCCACAAUGGGACUGAGAACGGCCCAUACUCCUACGGGAGGCAGCAGUAGGGAAUUUUCGGCAAUGGACGGAAGUCUGACCGAGCAACGCCGCGUGAACGAAGAAGUAUUUCGGUAUGUAAAGUUCUUUUAUUUGGGAAGAAAAGGUUAGAUUGACUGUACCAAAUGAAUAAGCUCCGGCUAACUACGUGCCAGCCGCCGC
rnacentral:rRNA from 1 species